ensembl:snRNA U6 U6 spliceosomal RNA
GUCUCUCUUCAGCAGCACAUACACUAAAAUUGGAACAAUACAGAGACCAACAUGGCUUCUAUGCAAGGAAGACAUGCACAUUCAUGAAGCAUCCGCCAUUUUG